UUAUUAAGGAGGUCAAGGAUUUCCUAUCUCGCUAUUUUGAGAUGAAGGAUUUAGGAGUGGCUGAUGUCAUUCUGAACAUCAAGUUGUUGAGAGACGAUGAUGGUGGGAUUACAUUGCUUCAAUCUCACUAUGUGGAAAAGAUCUUGAGUCGCUUUGGCUACAGUGAUUGCAAGCCCUCUCCAACACCAUAUGAUGCUAGUGUGUUGCUUCGAAAGAAUCGAAGAAUUGCUAGAGACCAAUUGAAAUAUUCUCAGAUUAUUGGCUCGCUUAUGUACUUAGCCAGUGCUACAAGACCUGACAUCUCUUUUGCUGUUAGCAAACUGAGUCGGUUUGUCUCAAAACCAGGAGAUGUGCAUUGGAAAGCUCUAGAGAGAGUUUUGCGUUAUUUGAAAGGCACUGCGAAUUAUGAAAUUCACUACAAUGGGUACCCAAAGGUGCUUGAAGGGUAUAGUGACUCAAACUGGAUCUCAGAUGCUGAUGAGUUAAAGGCCACGAGCGGAUAUGUAUUCACUCGUGGAGGUGGCGCUGUUUCUGUUGGGGAUCGUAGCAGAAAUUAAAAAAUUUCUACGCAUCACCAAGAUCAAUCUAUGGAGUCAUCUAGCAACGAGAGAGAGGAGUGCAUCUACAUACCCUUGUAGAUCGCGAGCGGAAGCAUUCAAGUGAACGGGGUUGAUGGAGUCGUACUCGUCGUGAUCCAAAUCACCGAUGACCGAGCGCCGAACGGGCAGCACCUCCGCGUUCAACACACGUACGGAGCAGCAACGUCUCCUCCUUCUUGAUCCAGCAAGGGGGAAGGAGAGGUUGAUGGAGAUCCAGCAGCACGACGGCGUGGUGGUGGAAGCAGCGGGGAUCUCGGCAGGGCUUCGCCAAGCUCAGCGAGAGGGAGAGGUGUCACGGGAGGGAGAGGGAGGCGCCAGGGGCUGUGGUGCGGCUGCCCUCCCUCCCCCCUCCUAUAUAUAGGCCCCCUGGGGGGGCGCCGGCCCUAGGAGAUCUGAUCUCCAAGGGGGGCGGCGGCCAAGGGGGUGGCUUCACCCCCAAGCCAAGUGGGAGGCGCCCCCACCCCUAGGGUUUCCAACCCUAGGCGCAGGGGAGGCCCAAGGGGGGGCGCACCAGCCCACCAGGGGCUGGUUCCCCUCCCACUUCAGCCCAUGGGGCCCUCCGAGAUAGGUGGCCCCACCCGGUGGUCCCGGUACAAUACCGGUGACCCCCGAAACUUUCCCGGUGGCCGAAACUGGACUUCCUAUAUACAAUUCUUCACCUCCGGACCAUUCCGGAACUCCUCGUGACGUUCGGGAUCUCAUCCGGCACUCCGAACAACUUUCGGGUUACCGCAUACUAAUAUCUCUACAACCCUAGCGUCACCAGACCUUAAGUGUGUAGACCCUACGGGUUCGGGAGACAUGGAGACAUGACCGAGACGACUCUCCGGUCAAUAACCAACAGCGGGAUCUGGAUACCCAUGUUGGCUCCCACAUGUUCCACGAUGAUCUCUCGGAUGAACCACGAUGUCGAGGAUUCAAUCAAUCCCGUAUACAAUUCCCUUUGUCAAUCGGUACGUUACUUGCCCGAGAUUCGAUCGUCGGUAUCCCAAUACCUUGUUCAAUCUCGUUACCGGCAAGUCACUUUACUCAUACCGUAAUGCAUGAUCUCGUGACCAAACACUUGGUCACAUUGAGCUCAUUAUGAUGAUGCAUUACCGAGUGGGCCCAGAGAUACCUCUCCGUCAUACGGAGUGACAAAUCCCAGUCUCGAUCCGUGCCAACCCAACAGACACUUUCAGAGAUACCUGUAGUGUACCUUUAUAGUCACCCAGUUACGUUGUGACGUUUGGUACACCCAAAGCACUCCUACGGCAUCCGGGAGUUACACGAUCUCAUGGUCUAAGGAAAUGAUACUUGACAUUGAAAAAGCUCUAGCAAACGAACUACACGAUCUUUGUACUAUGCUUAGGAUUGGGUCUUGUCCAUCACAUCAUUCUCCUAAUGAUGUGAUCCCGUUAUCAAUGACAUCCAAUGUCCAUAGUCAGGAAACCAUGACUAUCUGUUGAUCAACGAGCUAGUCAACUAGAGGCUCACUAGGGACAUGCUGUGGUCUAUGUAUUCACACAUGUAUUACGAUUUCCGGAUAACACAAUUAUAGCAUGAACAAUAGACAAUUAUCAUGAACAAGGAAAUAUAAUAAUAACCAUUUUAUUAUUGCCUCUAGGGCAUAUUUCCAACAGUUUCUUGGAAGUCUUGCAAGCAGACCAUCUUAACAAGGUCAAUAAUGGAAGCAGAACUCACAGCACUAGAUACAGCUACGGUCCAAGCAGAUUGGCUUCGCCAUCUCUUGAAUAACUUGUCGGUUGUUGAGAAACCUGUACCGGGUAUCCUUAUGAACUGUGACAAUCAAACUGUAAUCACGAAAGUGAGUAGCUCAAAGGAUAACAUGAAGUCAUCAAGACACGUUCAGAGAAGGUUAAAGUCUGUCAGAAAAAUGAAAAACUCUAGAGUUAUGGCAUUGGAUUAUAUCCAAACGUCUAAGAAUCUGGCAGAUCCUUUUACUAAGGGUCUAUCACGUAAUAUGAUAGAUAAUGCAUCGAGGGAGAUGGAUAUGAGACCCACAAUAUGAGUUGUUCACAGUGGUAACCUAUUCUUUGUGAUCGGAGAUCCCGUGAAUUAGAUGUGGAAGACAAGCUGUUGGUCAACUGAGAGGAGAGUAUCCUUACUAUUGACAAUACCACUCCAUGAAGAUGCAAUGCUCUCCUAAUCUGCAUGGCAGGUUGAUGUAUAUCUUAAUGUGUUCUAAGUGGCUCUUUUAAGCAGAGAUGUUGUCCUGCAGAACAUCUUUUGAAGAACACACCUAUAUGAGUCUGAUUGUUAAACGUCGCAAUCUAUGAGAGUAGGGUUCUCUCUAGUAAACUCAUGAAAGGUCUCGGAGUAUGACGCAUAAGCUCCACCCGCGGGGAAGACCCACGGUAGCCAAGUAUCGGUCAAGGCUUUGUGUGAAGCUAGAUUCGCAGAAAACUUGCAGUUCAAGGCCCAGUCCACUGUUCAAGUUGCUUACUAGUGUAGCAUAGAGUUCUAGGUGGAAGUUCAACUUAACAGUCUCCACUGCAAUACCGGUAUAUAAAACAGUAUUUUGGAACUAAAGGCAAAUUCUAUGUGCCUCUAGGAUAUGGUGGGGGAUUGCUGGAAUUUUAUCUAUUUAUGGGCCAGCCCAAUAACAAUUUCAGAAAUUCCUAAUAAAUCCUAGAGGCCCACGCAGCCCAUUCGUGCAAGGCAAGAGGUGGAAUUAAAGUUUAGUCUCACAUUGCUAGUUUUGAGGGAGUUGGAUCUCUUUAUAAGGGAGGCUCUUUCCCCACAUGUAUGAGGAUGAGAACAAGAGGGACAUCCACGCGCGAUCCUCCUCCGCCGCCCGCCUUGCCACGCCACGCCACGCCUCGCCUCGUCACGACGCGACGCGACACAGGUUGCGGGAAUGAGCCGAGCCGAUGUCUAAAUUUUUGCCACGCACGACGGGCUGUAGUGGAGAUUGAAUAUGAACGGCGCAACUCUUUGCCUGCUGCCUAUUCGUUUCGUCUCCCUCGUUCCCUUCAGCUCCCGUCGCCCUCUCAUCUUCUUCUCUUGCGCCUAUAAAAGGGAGGUCGCUCCUCCCAGAGAGACGCACCAGAACAACACAACCCUCUUGCCUCCAAGUUUCUGAGCUACUGCUACGAUCUUCCCCAUCCCGGCUUGCGGCAUGCACCGCAUGUCGGGACAAUAGGCCUCCGAAACCGCACCUUUUGAGUCUUGUACGGGAGAAGGGUGAUAAGGUUUUUGGGGAGCGCUUCGCGCGACUACUGACUUCUUCGUCACGGAUGCCCCGGACUCCGACGACUACUUCCCUGACGACGACUUCUUCCCCGACGUGGACAACCUCCUCGACGACAUGGCUGGUGAGGACAACGACCCCAAGUCCAACGCUUCUACUGGAGUUGUCCCGUACGUGUUCUUCCUCUUUCUGUUAGAGGCCCUACUACAGUUCCUUGUUCUAGUGUUUUCCCUAGAUAUGUUAGGCUCUGUUUCAUAUAUGCAACUUACUAUAUUGUCUGCUCUAGAUAUGUUUAGUUACAGUUCCUAUAUGAAGAUGUUGUUUACCUUCUCUUUAUAAAAUUGCAUGACUUGUUUUUUCACUGCUAUACUAGUCGUGCUUUAUCUAGUAUUUCUGUUAAUAAAAUCAUUCGGUAAAUUGCUCAUAUUUCCAACACCAUGCACAAUAGCUGCUGGUAUGGUGCUGACAACGUUGUUGUUUUUAUUUAUUUACAGUGACGGUCCUUAAGUUUUCUUCGGUGCUUAUGCAGAGUAACCUUAAGAACUAAUAUGCACUACAUAUUUUAUUUAUUUGAUAUGAAUACGCAUUAUAUUUUAAAAUGGAGAGAGUAGGACGGAAGUUUUUUUUAGAACAAGUAGGAUGGAAGUGGGUUUUAUAUAUUUAGACAAAGACGGAAGUGGGUGAUUCUUUUGUUUUUUGCGAGGGGGGCUUUAAGGUGGGCCUAACCUGACACAGCAUAGGGCCCAGGUCCAGUUAAAACACGACUUAGCACAUCAGCGACUGCGUAAACGCUUCACGAAGGAGGAAUUCGUCCCUCUCCAUCCUCCCCUCUGUGACCUCUCCAUGGCCGCCAAGAGGAAGCCCGCCAGGUCACCGGCGGCGGCGGCGCCGAAUGCGAAGGCGUAGGCGAAGGAAGACGACGCGUAGGGCCUCUUCUCCUCGCGCUCCUUCGCUGAACCCACACUCUGCGCCCACCUCCAAGGUCCCUCCCCCCUCUCCCUCUCUGAUUCCCCAUGAUUUGGUAGUCCCCUGGGGGAACUAGGAGCUCACCCCCUGAUCUCGUCCAGGUACCUUUUGAGAAAAAUCUAUACAACUGAUUUUCAUAUUUCCAAUCUGAAUUAUCAAAAGACAUGAAUUGAAGUAGAAGUUUAAACUCCAUUUAUUUGUGAUAUGUGAAUAUUAGUGCAUUCUAUUGGAUUCCUGUUAUGUUAAUUACAAUUGCCGUCUACGAAUCAGAAAUUACAAUCCUCUCAUCUUCCAAAUCACCAGUUUUGAGACAUAUUCAGCGCAAUGAUCUUCUUUACAGCAAGACAGGGUGCCUAUCAAACAGAUACUCUGAAGGCUUCGGGGAAGCUCUCCGAGCUUUCUCCGCCAGCAUUGCAAGGCCGCUAGGUUUGACUUCAGAAACUUUUUAUUCGGAUUCCCUAACGUAAGACAUGAUGGUCUACUCUCAAGAUCCCAAAGUCCGCAGCUAAGGAAAGCCCCUUCUUCAUCAGAUCAAGAAAGUACGGGUGUCUUUCGAAGAUUGUGUCUAGGUGUAGUAUUUCCGCUAAUCUCAUGUCUUGAAGGCCCAAUACAGUUUAUCCAUCCGAAAUAAAAAAGAACGAUACAAGCAGAGUAUUUCAGUCGCCUUUUAAGUUCACUAUACAAAACAAUGACCAGGUACACAUAGUUAAUAUUCGUUUAAAAGAACACCAGAUUCAGUUUUUCACACCAGAUUCACUUGAAAAAUUGUUCGAAUCUUACUGCCAUCAUAUGUUUCAUCAGGUUUCCAUUUAGAUAUAGCAUAAAGUACUCUCCCUUUCCAUCCUUGUAGCAGCCAACCGCGAUAUUCAACAGCAAAUAAUUCCUCAUGCCAAAACUUGUUUUCAUAAAUACUAUUAUCCUUAAGAUGGCUAGAUCGACAGGAAGCUGCUGGAACCCGGCCUUGAGGCACCUUGCGUGCCACUGCCAGUAACUUUCUGGUCUCUCAGUUCUUUCUACACCCUCACAUGCUAUGAUGUUAAGUGCAUCCUUCCCAAAUACCAUCCUCUCAAUCAUCUUUCAUUGCAAAGUUGUUUGCAAGUUUUGAAAUGUUUUUAAUUUCUUUCUUCUUAAAGGGUUUCAUUCAUUCUUAGAAAACUUCAUUAUUUUUUUUUAUUUUUUUUUGUUCUGAAAUGGUAAAACCAAUCCCAUGAAUUCAUUCUUCCAUAGAAAGCUUCGUGUUAUUAGUAUUAUUAUUAUUAUUUUGUUUUAGUUUUUAUUUAAUUUUCUGAAUUUUUUAGUUUCCAUUUUAUUUUAUUUUGUAAAGCUAAUAACAAUCUCUACUCCUAAUGGAGCAGUUGGUAGUCUCCGUUCCGGGUUUAUUUUCGUCCCACCAUUUUCGUCCGGUUUUUUUCCGUCCUCACUCCCACCCCUGACUUAUCCACCAGAAACCGAAAAAACCUCCUCCUGAGGCCCCAACCCGCACCCAUCCACGUACCAAAAAAAAAGACCUAUGAAGGUUAACCAACGAAAAAAGACCUACCAAGAUUAACCAGCGAAAAAAAAACCUAAUGAAGGAGUUGGUAGUCUGGUACGGUUUAUUUUCAACACUUUCCUAAUGACAAAAGAUCACGGAUCUAACUUUCCUAGCUUAGCCAAAUCAACGAAUCUCUUUCAUAAAUGCAAUUUGCUUUAGGAAACAAAUAAUAGAUUCUUUCCUACCUUAGCCAAAUCAACGGAUCUCUUUCAUUAAUGCAAUUUGCUUUAGGAAACAAAUAAUAGAUUCUUUCCUACCUUAACCAAAUCAGUGAAUUUCUCUCAUUAAUGCAAUUUGCUAUAGGAAAUAAAUAAUAGAUUUUCAGGAAACAAAUAAUGGAUUUAAUACGGUUUAUUUUCAACACUUUCCUAAUGACAAAAGAUCACGGAUCUAACUUUCCUAGCUUAGCCAAAUCAACGAAUCUCUUUCAUAAAUGCAAUUUGCUUUAGGAAACAAAUGAUAGAUUCUUUCCUACCUUAGCCAAAUCAACGGAUCUCUUCCAUUAAUGCAAUUUGCUUUAGGAAACAAAUAAUAGAUUCUUUCCUACCUUAACCAAAUCAGUGAAUUUCUCUCAUUAAUGCAAUUUGCUUUAGGAAAUAAAUAAUAGAUUUUGAGGAAACAAAUAAUGGAUUUAAAGAAAUUCAUAGGUAAACCAUCUCUACUACUUAUUAAAGAAGAAAACAUGUACAUCGCUAAAUGUACCCAGCCUAACGUACACAUAACAACAUAGCUCAAUUAUAACCACACGAUCAGAAUCACUUAAUUUAAUCUAAUCCAGAGCCAAAAACGCGCUUAGCAAUUUACCUGGGCGGACGAAAACUCUGCCGUACCAAACGUUCCGCGCGCCCCGCGUCGACCCCGGUACAUCGUUUCCUAAUCCAAGGAAAGGAAAACACAAUCCGAUAUCGAAAGAUCCCUGAAUGCAGGUGAGCGACGCGGUCAACACGGGGAGGCGGCGGCAUCUCGAGGGAACGGUGAUGGCCAAGUUGUGGGCUCCGGCGGGGCUGCUGUGGAUCUGGCGGAUGGCAGCAGGAUCGGGUCGACGACGGACGGCUCCGGCGAGAGUCGGAGAGACGACGGCGGCGGCUGAGCUCCUCCAUGGCCUGCUGCGGUUCCAGGGAGAACAGAAGGAAGGGAGGGGAGGAAGGGCACGGCCAGCAGGCUCUCACCUCUCUUACCUCCAUGCCGCCGUCGACACGACCCCCGAGCCUAGACCACAACCCAUGCGACGGGACCCCGUUGAUGCCGGCGGCGGUGCCGGGUUCCAUGAUCUAUUCGACUUCAUGUGUCGAAUCAUCAAGUCCGCACCAGCACUCCGCCGGGCCCCUCAGUGGGAUCGGCGUCCGUAUCAGCUCCUGCCUCUGCAAGUCAAGGGGUAGGCUGCUCGAUCGCAUCCCCAAGAGUCCCUCGCCGCCACAACGCCUGCAGUCGCGGACGGCCGUACAUGUCGACGGGAGCGGCUGAGCAGGGGACAUCCCGCCGAUCUGAUGGCGGAAGGGCGAGAUAAUGGGCAAGUCUACCUCGGGUUGAAUCUGGACACCAGCGAGCUCCUUGCAGUAAACCAGGUGCUGGACUUUUGCGUUUUGUUUAUCAGGUUUGCACUGUGUGAAUCACACCGGUCCGGCUCUCACCCCUCUCUGACCUCCAUGCCGCAGUUGGGCGCUCCUCCGAAACAAGAUUAUCGCGUCCAGGUAUACAGUCCGCCACAAAACUCUCCCGUGCAGUGGGCGUACAGAAGGUACCUUCCUCUCCUGAUUUUGUAUAUGGCAGUGUAGUACUAUGUGGUUAACUGAAAACGAAGAGUAAGCAAAUUAGUUCCUGUCAGAACAACUGUAGCCGGCAUCGCCGCCGUCGCUUAUGGAGCUCCACACCAUUCCCCAAUUGUACGAGAGCAUGUUCAAUCUUCGCCAUUCUAUACUAUGUGCAAAUGGUCAACUCUUUUCCAAACAAGAAGAUAUGAGGAUUAGGCAUAUAUGCCCCAUAAGGUAGCUAUAUUCAUGUGUUGUAGUGUGGAUUAUGGUCACGCUCUGUCUUGGACUGCAGAUAGCUAGGUUAACAAAAAUGGAUACUCUGCAUAUUUUCUGAAUUUUUAGUAAGGUCUACAUGAAUAAGGUUAGCAGUAGUUCUGACUUGGGGCACUGGUUAAUUCUUCACAUGCAGGAACGUGGAGAGAUGGUGGGCUCCAAGCCCAUGGUGAUUUUAUUGUGCUUGCAGCUUGAGAUGUACUUGGUCCAAAUGAAAAUCAUCAUUUUGAAGGGUUAGUAGAUGAUGCUCAAUGCCAUAAACCUGCACCGAUCGUCACUCAUGUCAUCUCAUAGAAGUCUAUUGAAUUUUAAUUAACUUUUGCUGUAUGCUAUCCAUGAUGUAAGUGGAGAUAGGAAGUUCCAAAAAAAUCCUGCACAAUGGGGAUGUGCACCAAUGAUUUGACAGGAUAAGAUGUUUGUGAAGUAUGAAAAAUUAUGACCUAAGCAAAACUUUUAUUUACAUAUAUUCAUACAUACUUUGAAUUUUAGAAACAUGUCUUGCACGUAUAUAGUUAGAUCUUAAUUUUGUUUAUUAUUCAAAAUGCUUGUGCCCACUAGAUUUCAUUUUUUUACCUUGAAGGAGUAUUAUAUUACUAUUAUUUGGAAUCCACCUUGAUCCUCCACUUCUAUUUUUCCUAGGCAACUUCGCAUGGAAUUAGGAUCACUUAAUAAGGUUCUGGUUUCUUUUUCAAAUUCACUUGCUUUAUGCAUGAACCUAUUAUAGAUUUGUUGGUGUUGAUUUGCAGUAAGAGCAAAUGUAAUAUUGUUCUCAUCAAUUUCUUUCAUAGCAUGUGUAAUGCGUUAUAACAUCAGUUUCAUUGGAUUGGAAAAGGUGAUAAACAUGCAACCAUUCUUACUCGAUGAUAUGAAUACUUCAGGAGCAAUGGCGGCAUUUGUUUGCACAUUAGUAUUCCAUUAUGUAGUAAAGGAUAUGGUCUGGUAGUCAUUCUUUAUCUUUAUAGUUAUUGUCAAAGGGUGGAAUAUUGCUGCCUAGCAGCUCUGGUUCAUGUGUGUGUGAAAAACAAUGUAAAAUCAUUUUUGUUGCUGUAGAAUCUCAUCAGUCGUAUGAAAAAGAAGGCUAGGAUAUUUAUAUUUUUUAAUUGUUCGGCUGCUUGUGUUACAGAUCUGGGCAUACCUUUUGUUUGAGAUAAAUUUGGGCAUAAAUUGUCACAAAUAAAUGGGUGGCGUUGGGUCAAGGUUCAGGAACCCAGGGGCAUCAUGCUUCUUUUGAGCCACAUGGGGAGAAUUACAUCCAUGUAUUAGAAAAACUAGGUGCCCACUUAAACAGAAAAAAUACAACUCUUGCUGACCGGGAGCUUCAUGGUAGUGGCUAGAAUUUAAUCAGAGAUCCAUGUACAGGUUGAUUGUUAUGAAACCAUGCGAUGGAAUCUUGAUGUUUACAAUGUCCAGAAAUCUGAUUCGUCAGAGACAAAAUCCAACCUUAAUUCCCCCAUUCAGAUCAUGAAAUAUUGGGGUUAACAGUUUGCGAUGUAAGAUGGGUUGAGAUCUGCUAUACGUUAACUUUCUUUUGUUCAAAUGUUUUCUUUUGUUUUGAAACCUUAAUGUUUUCUGUUGUGGGGUGACAAUGUCUGGGUUUAUGCUAACAAGCAAGAAAAAAGUUACAUGCAAUGAGUUCCCAAUCUUGAAAUAUUGAAAUAUUGAAGCAUAUCUUGGAACGACGGAGUUCCCAAUCUUCAUGGUAGAUGAUGGGACACUGGAUGCUGAAGUUGCUUAUUGUCUCGCGUAGAACAAUAGCAUGUCCUUAUUUUUUGCUAUGUUUUGCCCAUGUUGAUUACGAUGGCAUUGUUUUGAACAUUCUAUCUGUGUUGAUAAAAAAGGAGAUGAUUUGGUAUGCCCUCCUUGCAUAGGAUCGAGCUUGGUCGGUUGGUUCUUGGUUGGGUGUUGUUGAGACGAUCCAAGCCACCAGCAAUUCGAGCUUGUCUUCAUGGUGUGUAAUUAUAUUUAGGUAGACAAAAUCCCCUGAUGAUAGCCCAAAAAGACGAUUCGGCGUGACAUGGAGAUAAAGUGUUGCGUGCGGCAGGAAAGAGACAAACAUAUUCAGAAAUCCAAACCACCAGGAUGACAGUUGCGAGAUGGCUAUUGGAUGGUGCUGACACAUCUUGCUAGCGAGGAGGCUGUUUGCCGAAAUUGGACUUUGGAUUGUUAUAAAAUUUCAGUUUAGACCAAUUUUGUUAAACAUAACAUGUUAUUGUGACAACUAUUAUGAAAAAAAUUGAUUUAGAUAAUCAAAAUGAUGAAGAAAUUCCUAAACUUACGUGCGCUGCACGUGCACCCUUUCCAAUUUGAAGGGCUGCUUAUCGGUUUUAAAUCUUGAAGUUUGCACGGUCACUAAUAUGACCAUGCUAUUUUAGAGUGAUAACCUUUAUUUCAGGCAGUAAUGAAACUUGAAAUGCCAGUUGACUAACAGUAAUAAACACCAAGAAUACUGGUUGAUGUUAAUGGGAAUUAUGAUUAGCGAUGAUUCAUUUUAUGCUCUGGUGGAACGGGUCAAGCCGGUUUGCGCGGUGAGUAUUGUCCGUUACUUAUUUUCAUACUAACUACAUAUAUUGUUUGUGCAGGAUGGAUAUGAGUUGAGAAAGCAGUUUUUAUUAUACUUGCUACAGCAUCGUGGGAAUGAAGCUAAAGACAACUUUCCGUAUAUUGUGAAAGAAUUUCUUAAGCGUAUAACCUAGAUAUUAAUAAUUUUAUAAUAGAUGUUUAGUUGGAACUCCAUUAAGUUUGUUACAUGGACAUGCCGUUAAUUUUUCUUUUUGGCAAUUUACAUUGCAAAAAUGUACUUUAAUUAUUAAAUAAUUGUGUCUGUGUUAUAUUGUCCGUACGUGUGAAAUUUAACAUGCAUUAUCUUUAUAUAACUCUUGUAAACUAUUUCAAGAGCCCGUGGCAACGCACGGGCAUUGUACUAGUCUUACUAAUCCAUUACUUUUUAGGAAAAAACUCUUUUUUGCGGAUAUCUCACUAUUAUAUAUUUUUGAAAAGUUAUAAUACAUUUUUGAUAUAUAAGUAUGUAUAUGUGUUGUAUGCAUUUAUUAAAAUAAAUAUACAUGUGUGAGAUUGCUCACAUAAAAUAAAUAAUUCAUUUCUUCUUACAUUUUAUUUAUUUUGCAUAAAUUCCACUCCUAUAUGCUUAUUCUUGCAUAUUGUACAAAUGCGCACUUUUUGUAUAAAUCAUGUGCAAUUUUUUAGUUAUUUUGUGCAUUAAUAAUUCAUGCACUAUUAGAAACUUCAUUUUAUGUGUUUGUCAACAGCUGUUGUUUUGCGUUGGCCCAAGAAGGGUUGUGGGCUUCUGUUGGUUCUGUAUAAAAAAAUGCUUAAGGCCCCGUUUGGUAGCUCAGUUUUUCUAAGUAUUAUAGGAAUACUACAGUUUUCUCAAUUACUACAGUUUUAAUUUUUUUUUGCAUACUAAUUGGAGAGCUUUAUUCAUCGAAAAGCAUUCAUGGAUGAGUCAGCCAAUAGGCUGGUCACCAGGAAGCUUGGAGUAUCAUCUAUCCAGCUAUCUGUUACAUCCAGUGCACAAGCACGCUUUGCACAAAGAUGCGCAGGAAGAUUAGCUGAUCUACUUACAUGUCGAACAUCGAAAGAUGUAAAGUAAGUACUGAGCUCUCCUAUCUCAUCUAAUAAAUAGGCCACAAUAGAACGUGAAUUAUGGCGAGAGUUCCAAAGUCUCACCAACUCCAAGCAGUCUACUUCCAUUAUCACAUGGGAGAAGCCUCGGAGAGUAGCAAAACGAACCCCAUCACGUAAAGAGAGACCCUCCAUAGUGAGAGGAUCUGUGAUCCCGGAAUAAGGUUUGCACCACGCACCAAGCAAGGUCGAGGGAGAUCGAGCAACACCACCAGCACCCCCUCGGCCCCCCUCAAGAUUAAGUCCGCCAUCUAUGUUGAUCUUGACAAAGCCCUCAUCAGGCGGACGCCAUCCAAAUCCAGGCAAAACUUGUGCCUCUUUGCAAGGCAGAUGAAGGAGCGCAAUAGCCUCCUUUGUAGCCCGCAUAGUAGACACCGGGUCCCUACCCUCUUCUCCAUGCUUGAUGCGAUUCCUAGAAUGCCAAAUAAACCACAUUAUAGUUAUGAUCUUUGCUUGGUCCUCAUAGGAGAAACUUGAGGAGCACGUAAUGUCACGCGCCCAGGAUUCCGCGUGAAGGUUGGGCAGCCGUAGACCAAACCACGCACAUGCCUCUUCCCAGAAAUUUUUAGCAUGCGGGCAAUGUACUAAUGCAUGCUUCAGAUCCUCAUCUGUUGCAAGACAAACUUUGCAUUGCCGAGCAUCCGUAAUAUGUCGAUGAUUGAGUGUUGCUUCAUCAGGCAGAAUCCCUCGAAGCACUCUCCACCAGAACACUCUAACUUUUGGGAUAACAUUCAACUUCCACAAGGCUUUCCACAACUGUUGAUCACUCAAUGAAGUUCCGGUAGCCGUCCCUCCCUCUAGAGCCAAACGCUUGUUCUGAGUCACAAGAGAUCGGUACGCUGAUUUAACAGUGUAGUUGCCUGUGUUUUCAAAUGCCAAGCAAUAAAAUCAUUGCCACCGCCUGACCGAAUAGGUAUGUUGAGAAUGGCCGCAGCAUCUGUGGCAGUGAAGUUACUUCUGACCAGAUCCUGUCUCCACGACCAAGUAUGAGGAUCAAUAAGCUCGGACACUAGCAAAAUGUCAGUGUUCGUUGGUCGUGAAACAGGUGUCAUGGUAAUCGUCCCUGGAAUCCAUUUAUCAGUCCAGAUCAAGAUCAUACUGCCAUCUCCAACACGGUUGAUUAACCCUGUGCUGAGAGCUUUCUUCCCCACAAUAAUCGCCUUGCAAGUGGCAGAAGCCGACUUGGGCGCUAAGGCCUGCAUAAAUUCAGUGUCGGGAAAAUAUCUUCCUUUCAAAACUCUUGCGUAGAGGGAAUUUGGGCUCGUCAGAAAACGCCAUCUAUAUUUUCCAAGCAUUGCAAGGUUAAAUAAGUGGGGAUCUCUGUAUCCCAUACCCCCCCCCCCCCUUGCACUUGGGUGUCGCCAAGUCCUUCCAAGACACCCAAUGCAACAAUUUUUUGUCAAGAGAACUGCUCCAAAAGUACUUGGCCAUGGGUGAGGUCAGACUCUUACAAACUUUCUUAGUAAGCAGAAAAGUACUCAUAGGAAAGGUAGGAAUUGCUUGAGCUACUGAUUUCAGCAAAGCAUCACGUCCUGCACAAGCUAAUAACCUCUCUGACCAGCCUUGGAUCUUGGAGCGCACCCUUUUGCUGACAUGAUCGAAAGUACCACUUCUGAUCCGUCCAACAGCGGUGGGUAAGCCCAAAUAUUUUUCAUUGAAGGCCUCCACUUGAAUGUGCAAGGUAUCCUUCAAUAAUUGCCUUAGUUCAGAUGGCGAGUAGGAGCUGAAAUAUAUUGAACUUUUCUCUCUGUUAACACUUUGCCCCGAAGCCUCACCAUAAACUCGAAGAAUUUCAUUCAAACGAGUAGCACUCAAAUUGUUUGCAUUGAUAAAAAUAAGACUGUCGUCCGCGAACAGUAGAUGGGUGACCCAAGGAGAUCUGUAACUCACUCGCAGCCCCCUAUCAACAACUCCUCCAUUGUAAAAUUUUAGCAAUGAGGAAAAUCCUUUUGCACACAACAGGAAUAAAAAAGGUGAAACCGGGUCACCUUGACGAAACCCUCUCGUUGGUGUGAAGUAAGGUAGUAGCUCUCCAUUGACACGAACUGAAAAUCGUACCGAUGAGACACACUUCAUGAUCAAUCUAAUGAAGCUCAUGCUGAAGCCAAGCCGCUGCAAUAUUGCUUCAAGAUAAUGCCACUCAACGCGAUCGUAAGCCUUCAUCAUAUCAAGCUUAACCGCACACGAAUAAUUCUGUCCCUUCUUCCUUCUUUUCAUCGUGUGGAUGCUCUCAUACGCAACCAGUACGUUAUCUAUGAUGAGGCGUCCCGGGACGAAAGCACUUUAUUCUUCACUGAUAACUGAAUCCAUCCAGCUUCUCAACCAGUUAGUAAUAUAUAGCCUUGGCCGCAAUCUUGUAUAAGACCGGGCACAAAGCAAUAGGACAAUAUGAAGGAAAUAUGCCCUAGAGGCAAUAAUAAAGUUAUUAUUUAUUUCCUUAUAUCAUGAUAAAUGUUUAUUAUUCAUGCUAGAAUUGUAUUAACCGAAAACUUGAUACAUGUGUGAAUACAUAGACAAACAGAGUGUCACUAGUAUGCCUCUACUUGACUAGCUCAUUGAUCAAAGAUGGUUAUGUUUCCUAGCCAUAGACAUGAGUUGUCAUUUGAUUAACGGGAUCACAUCAUUAGGAGAAUGAUGUGAUUGACUUGACCCAUUCCGUUAGCUUAGCACUCGAUCGUUUAGUAUGUUGCUAUUGCUUUCUUCAUGACUUAUACAUGUUCCUAUGACUAUGAGAUUAUGCAACUCCCGUUUACCAGAGGAACACUUUGUGUGCUACCAAACGUCACAACGUAACUGGGUGAUUAUAAAGGUGCUCUACGGGUGUCUCCGAAGGUACUUGUUGGGUUGGCGUAUUUCGAGAUUAGGAUUUGUCACUCCGAUUGUCGGAGAGGUAUCUCUGGGCCCACUCGGUAAUGCACAUCACUAUAAGCCUUGCAAGCAUUGCAACUAAUGAGCUAGUUGCAGGAUGAUGUAUUACGGAAGGAGUAAAGAGACUUGCCGGUAACGAGAUUGAACUAGGUAUUGAGAUACCGACGGUCGAACCUCGGGCAAGUAACAUACCGGUGACAAAGGGAACAACGUAUGUUGUUAUGCGGUUUGACCGAUAAAGAUCUUCGUAGAAUAUGUGGGAGCCAAUAUGAGCAUCCAGGUUCCGCUAUUGAUUAUUGACCGGAGACGUGUCUCGGUCAUGUCUACAUAGUUCUCGAACCCGUAGGGUCCGCACGCUUAAAGUUAGAUGACGGUUAUAUUAUGAGUUUAUGUGUUUUGAUGUACCGAAGGAGUUCGGAGUCCCGGAUGAGAUUAGGGACAUGACGAGGAGUCUCGAAAUGGUCGAGACAUAAAGAUUGAUAUAUUGGAAGCCUAUGUUUGGAUAUCGGAAGUGUUCCGGGUGAAAUCGGGAUUUUACCGGAGUACCGGGAGGUUACCGGAACCCCCCGGCAACAUAAUGGGCCUUAGUGGGCCUAGGUGGAAGAGAGGAGAGGCGGCUAGGGCUGGGCCGCGCGCCCCUCCCCCCUAGUCCGAAUAGGACAAGGAGAAGGGGGCGGCGCCCCCCCUUCCUUCUUCUCCCUCUCCUCUUUCCCCCCUCCCAAGUCCUAAUCCAACUAGGAAAAGGGGGGGAGUCCUACUCCCGGUGGGAGUAGGACUCCUCCUGGCGCGCCCCAAGGCUGAACGCACCUCCCCCCUUUGAUCCUUUAUAUACGGGGGCAGGGGGGCACCCCAUAGACACAACAAUUGAUCAUUGACCUCUUAGCCGUGUGCGGUGCCCCCCUCCGCCAUAUUACACCUCGAUAAUAUCGUAGCGGUGCUUAGGCGAAGCCCUGCGUCGGUAGAACAUCAUCAUCGUCACCACGUCGUCGUGCUGACGAAACUCUCCCUCAACACUCGGCUGGAUCGGAGUUCGAGGGACGUCAUCGAGCUGAACGUGUGCUGAACUCGGAGGUGCCGUGCGUUCGGUACUUGAUCGGUCGGAUCGUGAAGACGUACGACUACAUCAACCGCGUUGUUGUUAACGCUUCCGCUUUCGGUCUACGAGGGUACGUGGACAACACUCUCCCCUCUCGUUGCUAUGCAUCACCAUGAUCUUGCGUGUGUGUAGGAAAUUUUUUGAAAUUACUACGUUACCCAGCACGAUAUUGUGAGAUUGACUGAGGAUGGCGUACCUUGGGAAUUAAGGUGAUGGAAGUAUCAUUCAACCCCGCUGGCAACUCUCCUCCAUUAAGAAAAUCCAACACUGCAAGUGUAACAUCAGCGCCCAGUAGGUCCCAGUGUCGCUGAUAAAACCCCGCGUUGAAACCAUCUACACCCGGGGCUUUGGAAGGCGCCAUCUGACAUAGUGCCACCUUCACUUCUUCGGCCGUGUAGGGUUUACCGAGAUCAUCGUUCAUAGCCUGAGAAACUUUAACAGGCACAUGCGAUAAUAGAUCGCUCGCAUCCGCAAAACCCUGUGAUUGAUACAAGUUUUGAUAAAGGCUUGCACUUCCAUCUUAUCCUCCUCUUCAGACGAACAGAUCGGGCCAUCCUGUCAUCAAAGACAAGAUAUUUUGUUAAUCCGUUUCCGUUGUGCCGCUUGAGCCUGAAAAUAGGCUGUGUUUCGAUCUCCUUCACGGAGCCAAGGAACUCUGGAUCGCUGUCUAAGCCACACCUCUUCCUGGUGCAGCGCCUCCUUCAGUUUUUGGACAACGCAUUUCUCCUCAUCCGAUGGCCCUGAGCCAAUAGAUCCUCGCCGGAUGCGAUCUAGCCUCUUCUGCAAUUGUCGGACAGUGCGCGAGAGGCUAGCAAAUUCUCUGGAACCCCAUGGUUCAAGAGUCUGCUGUAAUGUGCCCAACGCCACCAAAAUCCCUUGAAGCCUAGGUCCCCUUUGCAUGCCCCGCCAAGUUUCCUGAACCAGACGGUCAUAAUCCACAUGAGUCUGCCAAACAUUCUCGUAGCGGAAUUGUUUCUUUGCCCGUGACCUACCAGGCGAGUGCAACUUAAUUUCUGCCAUUACGAAGCAAUGAUCCGACUCCACCGACGGGAGAUGUCUUACUCUGAUAUGCGCAAAGUGUUGUCUGAACUCUUCGUUUGCAAAAACCCUAUCCAAUCUGGCCUUGACAUUUGCAUCGCCAGCUUGACGAUUAUCCCACGUAUAUGCUGUCCCAGACCAACCGAGAUCCUGUAAUGAAACUUCAUCGAUGACCUCCCUGAAAGCACGCAUCUGUCUCUCCGGUCGCUCUGCUCUGCUAAAGUGCUCGGAGGCAAACAAUGUUUCAUUAAAAUCACCUGCACACAGCCACGCCGCAUGAGGUAUUGCAUGAAGGGAACGAAGAGUCUGCCAGCUGUGGUGACGACUUUCAGCUCUUGGUGCCCCGUAAAAACCAGUGAAACGCCAUGUUGAUGUAUCUUGAUCAUUACUUUGGACAACCACAUCAAUAUGCAUCUGACUAAAAUUCUUUAACUCGACGAUUACAUCGCGAGACCAGAAAAGACCAAUACCGCCACUAAGGUCGGCACUGUCUACAGCAAAACAACCUCCAAAACCUAGAGUGUACUUCAAGUCCUCAACUCUUUUUGCACUGAUUUUCAUUUCCAUAACAAAGAGGAGAGUGGGUCCUUCUAGCUUCACAAUGCUGUGAAGCUCUCGAACUGCCUCGGGGUUCCCAAGCCCCCGGCAGUUCCAGCUCAGACAACUCAUUGGGACGGGCAGGAUCGCGGAGCGAUCUCUGCCGAAUUUUCAGGAGUGGGUUUCUUUUUCUUUUGCUCGCGGACAAAAUCCUCCCCGUCAGUGUCAUUGCUAGCUGAAGUUGGAUCCUCAUCAGUUUUACUUGUGCCAACUUUAUCUGCAUCUGUUACUCCCCCAGUAAGGAGCAAAGUUUUCGCCACUGGUCUGUAGACCCGAUUUGGUCCUUCCUUGCGCUUCGGCUGUACCUUGCUCUUGUGGGGGGAAGUCACUUCCUCUCCGGUGUCCUUGUUAGUGCUAGAGUUUCUCGUCAUUUGUUUACUGUUCGCACCCGAUUUUGGUUCCUUAGAAAAACCAUCAUAGCCUUGUUUCCUUGAUUCGUCCGGAGCACGAAGCGACGGACCAAACGGAAGUUCACCUUUCUCAUCUCUAGAACCUGGUGUUGGACAGUAAAGUUCAUAGUGUCCCAAUCUGCCACAAGAGAAACAGAAAUAUGGCACCUGCUCAUAUUGGAUGUCAUACAUAUCAACCUCCUUCCUCCGUGCAGAGUCUAUCAAAAUCCACCUUCUAAGUGGUUUGUUCACCUCGAUGGAGAUCCGUGCCCGCAGGAACCCCCCAAUGUGAUCAAACUUGACUUGUUGUGCAUGCUGAUCCAUCUGUUUGGCAAUGGGCAUCCGCCACAGCUCAUCCCUCAAAUUGUAGGGUAGGUUAAUAACCCUAGCCCAAAUAUGCAGCCUAUCAAACUUCACCUCAUCCGGCCUCAUGCACUCAUCAAACUCUGCCAAUAUGACAGCAUGCUUGUUGAUAUGCCAUGGUGAACCGCCCCAAACUCGAUCUCGAUCUCGUUGAUUCUCAAAUUCCGCUACAAACAGGUUCAGGCCCGUAGAACGGAACUGCAGCCCUCGUGGGUUGUCCCACGCCGGGCGGAGUGCGUUGGUGAUGGUCUGAAUAUGAAUAGGAUUUCGAUGCAGAACUUUACCAGCCACCAGCCACUUCGCCGGACCCCCCUCAGUCCGAUCAUCAAGCACAAGCAGAGUCGCCUCUUCCUCAGAUAUGUCAAGCUUUCCCAAAGCUUCCUCCAGCUUCUUCCUCAUGUCGCUACCCGCCUGAGAACCGUCCCCCGCUGCAGCGCAGGAGGUAGCCAUCGCCGGUGCACCAGCCGUCAGUCUCUCCUCGCGCCGGCGACGAAUCUCCGGCCGGACGUCGAGUUCCACGUCAAAACCCUAGAUCGCCUCGGCCGCCGCCAGAGGGUUUAGGGUUUCGGGGGAAAAAACUUUCGCCUGUCAAUCUUCCCCUUGCCGCUUACUACAGUUUUAAUUACUGUGAUCUGUUUGGCAACCCAAAAGACUAUGGUAUUUAUAAUUGCAGUAUUGCCAAAACCGCAGUAUUUCCUCUGUAUUAAAAAAAACCUCUGACCUCUUUUUUAAAAACAGAGCUGGCGAAGAAAACGAAUCUGUUCGUCAGCUUCCUCGCUGCAAGCCGCCGCUGCCGCUGCCGCACUCUUUUUGACAUCGUCGGCCAUGGACAAGCUAAGAGAAAGCAAUGAAAAAAUGAUGUCCUUCGUACUUCCGCUUGCACCUGGCCGUCCUCUCCUCCUACGCCCCGUGCAUGUAUCUGGUCAGUACGCUGGCCAGCCAUGGUCGUGCUGAUGGCUGCAAUCGCGAGUCCACAAGGCACUGCUGUCCACACAUGCACUGCUUCCGACCGUCGCCCGUGCCUCCGCUCACCGUCCUAGCCGGCUCGCCACUAUGCGCCUCUGUUAGGCCAAGCAACAGCCAAGCCAUAGCGUCGGUCAAUAUUCUGUAUCGCGUUGUUGCGCUCCCGCCGCCGCUGAUGCCCAGGCAUGCCACCUGGUCUAUUUGUGCGAGCAUGGCCAUUCAUUUUGCAAGGACAGCUAAGAACGUCCAUGUUGCAACUGCUAUGAAACGGCUAUGCAGCUAAUUUACGUCGUUGUAAACGAGUACCAACCAAACACGUCAAAGUAUUCUCAAUACUUCAAAAUACUUUGAUAUGUAAAAACUGUGGUAUCUAGUACCUAUAGUUUAAAAUACUGUAGUUUUCCAAUACUACAGUUUUUGCAAUACCUUGUUGUCAAACACAGCCUAAGUUAUGCUAUAACACUGAAAUUGACUGACCACAAUUUUGGUUCAGUCGAUUGGUUAGGAAUUGACUGACUUCCUAAAAUCGGGCAACCGCUUGUUGUCAAAUAAUAAUAAUAAUAAUAAUAAUAAUAAUAAUAAUAAUAAUAAUAAUAAUAAUAAUAAUAAUAAUAAUAAUAGUAAUUAGGGAACUGCCCUAUAGCCACUCCCAUCAUUAGAACUUUGGUAGNNNNNNNNNNNNNNNNNNNNNNNNNNNNNNNNNNNNNNNNNNNNNNNNNNNNNNNNNNNNNNNNNNNNNNNNNNNNNNNNNNNNNNNNNNNNNNNNNNNNNNNNNNNNNNNNNNNNNNNNNNNNNNNNNNNNNNNNNNNNNNNNNNNNNNNNNNNNNNNNNNNNNNNNNNNNNNNNNNNNNNNNNNNNNNNNNNNNNNNNNNNNNNNNNNNNNNNNNNNNNNNNNNNNNNNNNNNNNNNNNNNNNNNNNNNNNNNNNNNNNNNNNNNNNNNNNNNNNNNNNNNNNNNNNNNNNNNNNNNNNNNNNNNNNNNNNNNNNNNNNNNNNNNNNNNNNNNNNNNNNNNNNNNNNNNNNNNNNNNNNNNNNNNNNNNNNNNNNNNNNNNNNNNNNNNNNNNNNNNNNNNNNNNNNNNNNNNUAAGAUAGACUCAUGGUAUGUAUGUGGAUGCCCAUUCCCGCCCAAUCCAACAUAUGAUGGAGAGCAAUACAACCGAGACAUGUAAAACAAAAAAAGUAAAACUUUAAGAUAAGCCCUAUAAACCGGAAGGGAGGUAGUAACUGAUUGCUUGCUCUGGUUGGCUCCGGGGACGGGGAGUCGGUGGUUGCUCUACCGGAGGUCGACGUUUCAGCCCUAACGGCUGCGGCUGAGGUGGGGCGUGGGGGAGGGGGGUCGGGGCAGGUGGCUCCCACCUCCACCUUCACUAUCCCGACAUCGGCAUCGCUGGUCAUGACGGGACCGGCAGGUGAUGGGAGAGGAGGCCCGAGGCAGGCGGCCUCGGCUCUCUCUCCUUCGGGCGUGGCGGCGGCGGCUGCGCCUUCUAUGGCGUUGGGGGAGGGGGUUUGGGGCAGGCGGUCCUGACUCCUCCUUCCUCGCCGGCGGUCAGGAGGACCGCGUCUCCUUCGGUUGUGGCGGCGCCCGUGCCUUCUGUGNNNNNNNNNNNNNNNNNNNNNNNNNNNNNNNNNNNNNNNNNNNNNNNNNNNNNNNNNNNNNNNNNNNNNNNNNNNNNNNNNNNNNNNNNNNNNNNNNNNNNNNNNNNNNNNNNNNNNNNNNNNNNNNNNNNNNNNNNUGUGGCGUUGGGGGAGGGGGUGUGGGGCAGGCGGCCCUGACUCCUCUUUCCUCGCCGGCGGUCAGGUGGACCGCUUCUCCUUUGGCUGUGGCGGCGCCCGCGCCUUUUGUGGCGUUGGGGGAGGGGGGUUUGGGGCAGGCGGCCCUGACUUCUCCUUCCUCGUCGGCGGUCAGGAGAUCCGAGCCUCCUCCCAGAGUACCCGUUGCUAUGGGUCUCGGAUUGGGGCACUUGUCCGAGGGGUAUGGGAGCCCGCAGCCGCCUCUUCCGGCAUCCUUGGUUGACCCUUCGCGGGUGUCAGCGCGAGGAAUUACUAGGGAGGAGGUCGUUGCUUUUGGCGGGAUCCCGGACCCGGCCUCGACGGAGAGGCGGAUGAGUGCUCGCAUUCAGGAGCUUCCGGAGGUUGAUGACAUGCAGCAGAGGUGCGCUAUGAGGGCGGCCAAGCUUCAUGAUGCUGCGAUCUCUACUGGUAUGUCCGUCAACAUAUCUAAUUCUUUACUGCAUUUUUCUCAUGAGGAAAUUAUAAAUAAUGCAAACCAAUUAGGAGUUUCACUCGGGGCUACUGAUAGUGAGAUUUCCAAUUCGGUGAAUGAUUUGUUAGAUUUGGAGGCGGAGCGUGCCUUAGAAACUAUUCGUAAUCUUGCUGCGGUUAAACCCAUGAAUGAUAAUGAGAUUGAUGCAUUAGGGGUUAGAGUGCUCGAUAAUAUGUGUGUGGAUCUAGCACCAUCCAAUCAUGAGUCUGAGGACGAUGAUAUGCCCAUAGUUAAUGCAGUUGUUUCUUCCGCUGAGCCCGGAUAUGAGGAUCGGGAGUCAGGACCUAGUAAACCCAAGCGUAAGUGGAAACGGAAAAUUUACCCCGAUUCUGCAGUUCGUAGGAGUGCUAGGAUUCGGACUACUAAAAAAUUUGAUGAUGAGUGAUGAAAGGAAUCUUUUGGAAUAGCAGAGGUCUGAAAGACUUGGCUAAACGAAGGUUUCUUGCUGAGGCAUCUCUGGAGCAUCGUUUAGAUUUUAUUGCUCUAUCGGAAACUGGUAGAGACAACUUUGCGCCCCAGUUCCUUUCCUCUCUUGUGGGUGGUGUUGAUUUUGAUUGGCAUUGCCUCCCUCCGCGAGGAAGAUCGGGUGGUAUCUUGCUGGGUGUGAGAUGCGAUUCUCUUGAAGUCCGUAGUGUAGUGAUGGGCGACUUCGCGGUUAAGUUUCGAGUGAGGUCUAAGGUUGAUGGUUUCAACUGGGCGUUGGUGGCGGUUUAUGGUGCUGCACAGCCCGAGCUUAAACCGGAAUUUUUGGCGGAUCUUGUUCGGAUUUGUGGGUCCGAGCAGCUUCCCAUCUUAGUAGGGGGUGAUUUCAACAUCAUUAGGAGGAGAGAGGAGAAGAAUAAUGAUAACUUUGACGGCAGGUGGUCGUUCAUGUUCAAUACUAUUAUUGAAAGCUUGGAUCUGAGGGAGAUAGAACUUUCUGGUAGAAAGUUUACCUGGGCUAACUCUUUGCCCACCCGACUUACGAAAAGCUUGAUCGCGUUCUUGCGAGUGUGGAGUGGGAACAGAAGUUCCCGCUUGUGAAGGUUCAAGCUCUUUCACGGGGUUUUUCCGAUCACACACCCCUGUUCGUUGACUCAGGGGAGCCGAACCACGUGGGGAACAAAAACACCUUUUCUUUUGAGAUGGCCUGGUUCGAACGCGAAGGGUUCCUAGACCUCAUCGCUAGGGAAUGGGCGAAGGGUGUUGGAGGUAGGACCGCGGUUGAGCGUUGGCAAAAUAAGAUUAGGAGUUUGAGAAGCUUCUUACGGGGUUGGGCUAAGCACCUUAGUGGGGUGUAUAAGAUUGAGAAGGACAGGCUCCUCUCUCUUAUACAGAAUUUGGACGUUAAGGCAGAAUCCACGAUUUUGAUGCCUGCUGAGCUCCAGGUUAAAACUGAAGCAGAGAAGAGGUUGAAAGAACUUCUCCGCGAAGAAGAAUUGAAGUGGGCUUUGCGGGCUAAGGUUCGCAAAGUGGUCCAAGGGGACGCGAAUACUCAAUUCUUUCAUCUGAUUGCUAAUGGUAAGCACAGAAAGAAGAGAAUAUUCCAACUUGAACAAGAUGAGGGCACUAUUGUAGGACAGGAUAACCUAAAAACAUAUAUAACCGAGUAUUAUAGGCAGUUAUUUGGACCUCCGGAGGAUAAUUGUGUAUCUCUCGAUGAGUCCAGAACUGAGGAUGUGCCUCAACUUUCGGCUGCUGAAAAUGAUAUUCUGGUUGCCCCGUUUUCGGAGAAGGAGGUGUUUGAUGCUAUAGCACAGUUGAAAAAUAAUAAGGCUCCCGGACCGGAUGGAUUUCCUGUGGAGUUCUACAAGAAGUGCUGGCAUAUUAUUAAGGGGGGUUUGCUACCUAUGUUUCAUGAUCUGUUCUCUGGACAGCUUCAAUUAUUUCACUUGAAUUUUGGAACUAUCACAAUGCUUCCUAAGAAGACGGAUGCUGUGAGAAUUGAGCAGUUCAGGCCGAUCUGCCUUCUCAAUGUUAGUUUUAAAAUAUUCACCAAGGUCGGGACUAAUAGGCUCACACAGAUUGCACAUUCUGUGGUGCAGCACUCCCAAACUGCUUUCAUGCCGGAAAGAAACAUCCUUGAAGGGGUGGUCGUCCUUCAUGAAACGCUCCAUGAAAUCCAUUCCAAGAAGUUAGAUGGUGUCAUUUUUAAGGUGGAUUUUGAGAAAGCGUACGAUAAGGUCAAAUGGCCAUUUCUCCAACAGGCAUUGCGUAUGAAAGGUUUUGAUGAAGCCUGGCGACGCCAGGUUGAAUCAUUUACGCAAAAAGGGAGUGUGGGCAUUAGAGUGAAUGAUGAUAUUGGUCAUUACUUCCAGACACAUAAAGGCCUAAGACAAGGAGAUCCGAUGUCCCCUAUCCUGUUUAACAUUGUGGUUGAUAUGUUAGCCAUCCUGAUAGGAAGGGCUAAGGAGAAUGGUCAAGUGGGUGGCUUGGUACCUCAUCUGGUUGAUGGAGGUGUAUCCAUCCUUCAGUACGCUGAUGAUACAAUCAUCUUUAUGGAGCAUGACCUGGCCAAGGCGAGAAAUAUGAAGCUGGUGUUAUGCCUUUUCGAACAAUUGACCGGGUUAAAGAUUAACUUUCAUAAGAGCGAGUUGUUCUGCUUUGGUAGAGCCAAAGACGAACAGGAGGCUUAUAGGCAAUUGUUUGGGUGCGACUUGGGGGAUUUACCUUUCUCUUACCUAGGUAUUCCAAUCCACCAUCGAAAGCUGACCAAUAGAGAAUGGAAGUGCAUCGAAGACCGGUUUGAGAAGAAACUGAGUUGCUGGAAGGGCAAGCUCAUGUCAUAUGGAGGCCGAUUAAUUCUGAUUAAUUCGGUGCUCACGAGUAUGCCUAUGUUUCUCUUAUCGUUCUUUCAAGUCCCAGUUGGUGUUAGGAAAAGACUGAACUUUUAUCGAUCGCGUUUCUUUUGGCAGGGUGAUGAGCUAAAAAGAAAAUACAGACUUGCAAAAUGGGAUAUCAUCUGUAGACCAAAAGACCAAGGGGGUCUUGGUAUUGAGAAUCUUGAAGUUAAGAACAGAUGCCUUCUUAGCAAGUGGCUGUGGAAGCUUUCUUUUGAGACUGAUGCCAUGUGGGCCCAAAUCCUUCGCAGCAAGUACCUACAGUCAAAGUCCUUGUCCCAGGUCACAGUCAGGCCAACUGACUCGCCUUUCUGGAAAGGUCUGAUGAAAGUCAAACAGUCUAUGUUUAAUAGGACAAAGGUUGUUAUUGGCAACGGCGCUAGUACACGAUUCUGCGAGGAUACUUGGCUCGGCGAGACACCCUUGGCCAUUCAAUAUCCGUCUUUAUAUCGCAUUGUUCAACGACGUGAGGUGUUCGUUGCUACGGUGUUUCAAUCCAUCCCCCUUAAUAUUCAGUUCAGAAGGUCGUUAGUGGGCAAUCGUUGGGAAGAUUGGCUCCGUCUAGUUCGGAGACUAAUGGAUGUCCAUCUUUCUCAACAAUCCGAUGAAUUACGCUGGAAACUGACUAGGUCUGGAGUAUUCACGGUUAAAUCAAUGUAUAUUGAUGUAAUUAAUUCGAGCUCCAUUCCUACCUCCAAUCAUGUUUGGGCUGUCAAAGUUCCUUUGAAAAUAAAAGUGUUUAUGUGGUUUGUCCAUAAACAGGUUAUUUUAACCAAGGAUAACUUGAUUAAGCGUAAUUGGACAGGACCUACGAGGUGUAGCUUCUGUGAUCGGGACGAGACGAUCAAACAUCUCUUUUUUGAUUGCCCGUUUGCCAGAGUUCUUUGGCGGACGGUUCACAUUGCUUUUAAUAUUACUCCACCGAAUUCUGUCACUACGUUAUUUGGGACAUGGCUCACUGGGAUUGAGCCUGAAUUAGCGAGACAUAUUCGUGUUGGAGUUUGCGCUUUGUUGUGGACCAUCUGGACUUGCAGAAAUGAUUUGGUUUUUAACAGAAUAUCACGUAUUCACUUUUUGCAGGUUAUUUUCCGAGCCACGGCCGUGAUCCGUUCAUGGUCGCUACUCACUCCGAUGGAGGCCAGAGAGCAUUUGGUUACUGGAUCUAUCCGAUGGGAGAUGGUAGCUCGGGAUAUCUUCAACCGGUUUGGAUGGCGGUCAUGUAAUAGGAUAGGCAAUUAGUUUACCUAUUUAUCUUUAGCCAGCCGGUUGUGGCGUCUUAUCUUGGCUAGUCUGUGUGUCCAGCCUCUUUAGCUCUAUGUGAGCUGUCUUUUUAUUUCUUUUCAGUCGGAGACUUUGGAACCUUGUUGGAACCUUUUAUUUCGUUAAUAAGAUGGUCGUAUGCAUCAUUCUGAUGCAGAGGCCGGGGAGAUCCCCUUUUUGAAAAAAAAACUGAUUGCUUGCUAGGUGAUGCGCAGAUCACAUGACUAAACGGGGGGACCGGCGCCAAAUGCUACAUGAUCUCGACUAGGAGGUCAUCGCUUUGCGCGACAUGCCGCAGCACUGGAAAUGAAUCCUUCUCCCCUAGUCUAGGUUCAUGUACUGUUCACAGUAGAGUUUUUUUUUUGCAGGGUCACCGUAGAGUAUUUUGUGCCCUCGUUACAGCCAAACUACAUGGAGGUAUGUCAAAUAUAGUCUUGAAAAGCAUGGUCUGAUUAAUGCCGGGGUCCGCUUGAAUACACUCCUCUUUCAAAAAAAUUAGAAAAUAAUUUUGCCUUGGACCCUCCUAACUGGCGAACAUUCGCCAGGGGACAUGGCACAUGCAAAUGAUUCGAUGGCAUUUUUAGUUGUGACUAGCAUGGUUCCCGUGCUUUGCUACGAAACUACAGAAUCAUAGCUCACACGUAUUUUACUAUGGAAUAACAGAAAAAAUAUGGCUUCAUAAAUACGUAUGUUUUAUAUAAAUCAUCAGUUGUGCGCAAUGUCAUUACGGCAUCCUAGGCUAGUACAUAAUAAUUCAAUGCAUAUUAAGACUUAUCGAGCUUAAUUCCAGAUUUAUUUCUCAUGCUUGAUUAAAAAAAGUCCAAAACACCAAAUGCUCCCAGGAUGCUUCACAGUGCUACAUUUAUUUUUAGAAAAACUCCCCAUGCUAUAUUUUUUUUAGAAAAACUCCCCGUGCUAUAGUUACUCAAUGCCAUAGCUUUCUCCUCAUUAUAACAUUGCAGUGCAUCUUCAAUAUUACGAGUGAUAGAAAAUGUCGAAGAAACAAGGACAAUGUAGGGCCCGCACGCAUGGUGUUUGCAGCCCUGCAGCUGUCCAAUGUGUGAAUAGUAGUGUCCUUUAGUUUUCACAAGUGGUGAAUGCUAGCAUGUGGAUGAGUUGCCUGUGCGUUCAAAUUUGCCACGUUUUUUUUCUAUAUGUGUGAACAGUCCUACUUUUUCUAGAUGGCAAGGAGUAGGGCACUUGUAGGAGACAUGCUGGGUUCAGACUCCCAUCAGCCACAUUUUUUAUUUUGGCUACUGUUGAGGUAGGUCCCACAUGUAAUAGGAGAUAGAGGAGUGAACUCUCCACCAACUCAAAUCUUUAGAAGUAGGAAAGAUAUACGGAACUCACAUCUUGUUUAUCUGAUUCCAUUUAGGGAGCAUUCGCACAGACACACAAAAAGAGAUUUCAUUUUGUUAAGAAAUUAGGCAGCUUUUGGUUAAGCUCAAUCUAGAUUAGCAUUAUCAAAGAUUACUGACAUGGCAUAUCGCAUGUGAAUGAUGAGAGAUUCGGAACAUACGAGUUCACCGAAAACUCUAGUGCAACGACAUGGUUAGCCAUAGUGGUGAAGAUGAGGUGGUUGUUCGGUCUCGAGGAAGCAGGUGAACUGUAGCCGUGGAUGUAGUUGAACUUGAACGAGCAGCCGCGCCGAGACGCUCCCAAAAACCUUAUUGACCCUCACGUGGUGCAGGUUCUAGAAGCUUCUUGAUUUCCAUCUUAAGGUGUCCAUAGGUGAAGUGAUCCAGCGAGUUAUCUGUCAAAGCCGCUAUCACGACAGAGUUGUCAGAAUGAACAAUAAUAGGGAGGUUUGACCGCUGCAAACUCAAUGACACUCCCUCCGGAACAACACUGAUCUCCGACUCUAGAGCAUCCUUGCAGUGGAAAGAUAGGGCCACCCGGUGAUGGUUNNNNNNNNNNNNNNNNNNNNNNNNNNNNNNNNNNNNNNNNNNNNNNNNNNNNNNNNNNNNNNNNNNNNNNNNNNNNNNNNNNNNNNNNNNNNNNNNNNNNNNNNNNNNNNNNNNNNNNNNNNNNNNNNNNNNNNNNNNNNNNNNNNNNNNNNNNNNNNNNNNNNNNNNNNNNNNNNNNNNNNNNNNNNNNNNNNNNNNNNNNNNNNNNNNNNNNNNNNNNNNNNNNNNNNNNNNNNNNNNNNNNNNNNNNNNNNNNNNNNNNNNNNNNNNNNNNNNNNNNNNNNNNNNNNNNNNNNNNNNNNNNNNNNNNNNNNNNNNNNNNNNNNNNNNNNNNNNNNNNNNNNNNNNNNNNNNNNNNNNNNNNNNNNNNNNNNNNNNNNNNNNNNNNNNNNNNNNUCGGCAAUAUACGUUUUCCCUUUCACAAUCUCCUCAACGCUAUACUUCUGAUCCUGAUUAAAGGAUGUAAAGUAAAGUAGGUUCCAUAUCCUCCACAACAGCAUGAUUGUCAUAGCUCGCUCGUCCUCCUUCAGAUUGCACAGGAUGCUAAAAGCCACUCCUUGCCACGUGAACAGCAGUUUUUCAUUUGUUGGGAAAGGCCGGACCUGGUGCAUCUCAUCCCAUAGCUUACUUCACAUGUAGGGAGUAGUAAACUUUUUUUUUGCGAGGAAAUCUUUCAAUAUAUUCAUCAACUGUCAAGGUAGUAUAAAAAACACCAGAAUUAAAAGAAAACAUACAGGUCGGUAAACCGGGACUAAAGGGUCGUUACUAAUGCCUCUCCCCUUUAGUCCCAGUUCUUACACGAACCGGGACUAAAGGCCGCGGCCACGUGGACCUCCACCUUUAGUCCCGAUUGGUAACACCAACCGGGACUAAAGAAAUUUUAUGAUUUUUUUUUUAAAAAAAAUUUGAAUUUUUUUUUGAUUUUCAAAUUUCUGAAUUAUUUUAACCUCUAAUCUGUAAUCACCACCCCUCAUCACUGCUCAAUUUAUCCUCUAAUCUCUAAUCACCCCUCAUCAUUCCAAAUUAGCUAACUUCCCGGACGGUCACCCAUCCUCUCACUCCUCCAGCCUGAGCUAGCUUAACUUCCGGAUUCUGUUCUCCCUCGUUUCCAAGUCUGCACUUGUUGUUUUCCUGACAAUAGUAAGUUGUCAAUCCUAUUAACCCUCAGGAAUUUAGCUUGAGCAUGAAGUGACACAUUUUACUGUUUGAGUUUGAAACUAUUAUUUUAAAAAACAAUAAUUAUUUAGUAACACUAAUAUUUCUUGAAUAAUUAGUUUGACCAUUGUUUGACCACAGUUUGACCAGAUUUGACCAAAAUUCAAAAAAACUGAAAUAAUUAUUUAGUAACACUAAUAUUCUAGAAUAAUUAGUUAGACCACAGUUUGACCAGAUUUGACCACAUUUUUUCCAAAAAAAAAUUGAAACUAUAUUUUUUCUGUUACUAGUGGCGCACCUAGCAAAUGGUGCGCCACUAGUAAGUUUGAAAUUUUUUUGAUUUUUUUGCACUCUAGAUCUUAAAAGCCCCGUAACUUUUUUCUGUUAGGUUUUUAAGGAUUUUGAGAAUGUUUAACGGGGUUCCCCCAGUUAAAUUCGGAUGUAACUUUCCGAGUAGAUGAUUUUUCAUAUAAAAAACUUUUUAAUCCGAGUUCGUAUGCAAAAGUUAUGCCCAUUUUACAAAUUCCAGAGAGAUUUUGCAAAUAAAGUCGAAAUUCAUAUUUGUAAAUUUUCCCAACAACUAGACCACAUAUCACAUGGGAAACUUAUUUUAUUUUAUUUUUUUGACAUUUCCAUCAUUUUCUUUUGUAUUUUCUAAAACUGAAAAGGCGGUCCAGGGGGGUAAAGUUUAAAAAUGGGACCUUUAGUACCGGUUCGUGCCACGAACCGAUACUAAUGCCUCAAAACCCAUUAGUACCGGUUGGUGGCACCAACUGGGACUACCUUUAGUCCCGGUUGGUGCCACCAACCGGGACAUCGCACCCUUUAGUCUCGGUUCGUGGCACCAACCGGGACUAAAGGGCCCAAGUGAACCAGGACUAAUGCCUUAGCCGCACGAACUGGGACCAAUGCUCACAUUAGUCCCGGUUCGUGACUGAACGGGGACUAAUGUGAAUACUGCCCUGUGACCAAAGCCCUGUUUUCUACUAGUGCACCUAGCAACGACUAGAAGCACCGGAGGUGUGGAGCGAGUCAAAGGCGCGCCUCCAUCCUAUUGCCCCUCCCUUAUCGAAGCCGGGCAAACCUUAAUAUAGUAGACAGUCGGGAAGUCAUCGUGCUAUAUAUAUUUUUUGACUUAAAAAUAAUAAUACACUCUAUAUAUUUUAUUUAUUUUACAUGAAUACACACUAUAUUUUUUUUUAAUGAAGAGAGUAGGACGGAAGUGUUUCCUCUCAAAAAAUAAAGAACGGAGUUUUUUUUUUGAGGGAAAAAAAAGAACGGAAGUGGGUUCUUUUUUUUAGACACUGGACGGAAGUGGGUGAUUCUCUUGUUUUCUGCGAGGGGAGGCCCGAUAAGGUGGGCCUAGCCUGACACAGCUUAGGGCCCAGGCCAGCACAUCAGCGAGUACGUAAACGCUUUGCGAAGGCGGAAUUCGUCCCUCUUUCCUCUGUACUCUGUUCGGUUCUCCGUCCUCUCCUUCGUGACUUCUCCAUGGCCGCCAAGAGGAAGCCCAGCAGGUCGCCGGCGGCGGCGAAUGCGAAGGAAGAUGAUGCCGAGGGUCUCUUCUCCUCCCGCUCCUUCGUGCACACCACACUCUGCGCCCGCCUCCAACCAAGGUCCUUCCCCCCUCUGCCUCUCUGAUUCCCCGUGUCUCUGGCCCUAGUGAUCUGGUAGUCCCCUGGGGGAACGGAUGAUUUUCAAAUUUCCAAUCUGAAUGAUCAAAAGACAUGGAUUGAAGUAGGAAGUUCAAACUCCACUUAUUUGUGAUAUGUGAAUAUUAGUUCAUUCUAUUGGAUUCCUGUUGUGUUAAUAUGUGAAUAUUAGUUCAAAUCAGAAAUUACAAUCCUCUCAUCUUCCAUAUCACCAGUUUUGAGAGACAGGCAGUGCAAUAAUAAUCUAGUACUUUACAGCAAAAUCCAGGAGCUCACCCCCUAAUGUCGUCCACGGCUCUUUUGAGAAAUGAUCAAAAUAGUGUUCGUAGUUUAAGGAGUACUAGAAGUUUGACAGAAGACAUGUCCAAAACGUCACCCACCAAGCUGUGAUAUGGAGAGAGUAAUAAUAUGGGAACAUUAGUGCAUCCUGUUGGAUUCAUGCAUAGGAACAUUGUUUGGAUUAACUACAAUUGCCGCUUUCAAAUCAGAAAUGACAAUCCUCUGAUCUUCCAUACCGCCAGUUUUGAGAGAUAUUCAGCGCAAUGAUCUACUUUACAGCAAAUCAGUGUCUAGGUAUGGUAUUUCCACUAAUCUCAUGUCUUGAAGGCUCAAUACAGUUUAUUCAUCAGAAAUUAAAAAGAACAAUACAAGCAAAGUAUUUUACAGUCGCCUUUUGGUUCACUAUACAAAACAAUGACCAUCGUAUUUGAAAGAACACCAGAUUCACUAGAAAAACUGUCCGCCUCUUACUGACCAUCGUAUGUUUCAUCAGGUUUCCAUUUAGAUAUUGCAUAAAUUACUCUCCCUUUCCAUCCUUGUAGCAGCCAACCACGGUCUUCAACAGCAAAGAAUUCCUCAUGCCAAAACGUUUUCUUCAUGUAUACUAUUAUCCUUAAGAUGGCUGGAUCGACAGGAAGCUGCUGGAACCCGGCCUUGAGGCACCUUGCGUGCCACUGCCUGUAACUUUCUGGUCUCUCAGUUCUUUCUGCACCCUCACAUGCUAUGAUGUUAAGCGCAUCCUUCCCAAAUAUCAUCCUCUCAAUCAUCUUUCUUGCUUCAUUAUCCCGUGGAGCAACGUUUGAAUCAAGCAUGUCAAACAUUGAAGAGUAAUGGAACAUUACCUCUUUGAAACGUUUUAUGAAGAAGGGAGAACUGCGUAACCCAUUCACGGUGCCUGAAAUAAAAAGCUUUGGGUUCAUCCUCCUCACCAUUUUGAGCACCUUGUCCCUUGCACUAUUUAUGGCUUCGGUUUCAUGACCGAGAUUCUUCAUCCGGUACAUGCAAUUGAUUAUGAGAACUUCAUCCUCCACAAUAUUAAGAUCCUCAAUUUUAAUGUUCUCCCAUCUUGAAGCGGCAAUACUGAAAAGAUACCUUGAACAUGUUUGCAUAAUCAACCAACCGCUUCCCUGUCUCCUCGAUCAUUUCGCUGGGGCGGAAACCUGGCCGGGGAACAUCUAUACCUGUGAUCCGAAGCUUAGGGGCUCCCUCUUCUUGCUGUGCAAACUUCUGAAUCAUUAAUGGCCACUGAAAGCCGAAGCCGAUGCCAAAGCCGAAGCCGCUCCUCAAUCAAACUUAGAUGUGACCAGUUGCCACCAAGAACCGUCGCAGGCACGUUGUGUUCCAUCAAAUAUGUUUUCUUCCGUACGAUAUGUCUUGACAUUCAUUUCAUAAUCUGUUUCCUCGCACCGAUGAAACAACAUCCUCCAGAGAGGAAUAUCUACCAGACCAACAUGGAAAUGAAGAAUCGUCGACAUCGAUGUCACACACACACACACAUAAUCUGAUAUUGCCCUUAACGGUAAGAUUUUGCCUUAAUUAAUCCAUGUUGAUGCCUCUGAGUUUAGGAAUCAUUUAUGUUUACAAAAACCACUCUCUUUCUGCCUCAUCAUUCAGGAACCCUUGACUCUUGGAGCUCCCCGUGUUCUUGCAUACAUUGUGGUACUCUUUUGUUUUUAUUAAAACAUUGUGGUACUCUCUUUUUUAGGUGAUGGUACUCUCUUUUGGUUUUUUUGGGUAGUCCGAUAAAAAAGCACAGUUUGUGGGAUACAUCUCGAAUCAUUUUUUUUUAAAUGGUCACUGGGGGGGAAAGGCUCCCCACCUGAAUAUAUUUUAAACAUAGCAGAAGAGUACAGAACUCACAUGUUUUGUGAGGAGAGGAAGUCACCCCACAGCCCGGCAUGUUCCUUUAGGCUCUCGGUUUUGAGCCGAGGAGCCCAUAUAGUUAUGUCAUCAAGAAUAGCUCUAAUGGAAUCAGCAGUGGGAAGGUCUAUUCCUUGGAAGACUUUUUUGUUCCGUGCGUCCCAGAUCUUCCAGAGGAUGAUUAGGAACAUGAAGGAGCGGACUGAAGUUGGCAAUGCAGUUGGUAACCUUGUAGAGAAAAGGUCACUAAUAGGCGUAAAGCACGGGCGAAUGGAGGUAGCCUGCCAAAUGCCCCGAGCAGCCGGGCAUGAAAAGAACAGGUGCUCGUGAUCUUCAACCUGGUGAGAACAUCUUGCACAAGCUUCAGAAUCGAGGAUGCUUUUUUUAUGCAAGUUUUUUCGGGUGUUGAGGCGGACGAGGUAGAAGAGCCAUCCGAAGAUCAUAACCUUUUUUGGCACUUUUGAGUCCCAGAUGGCGGCAAGCAUGGGAUCGGAGAGAUGAUCCGAGAGAGCCGCAUAUGCACCCCGGGUCGAGAAGGCGGACCCGUUGAGCAAACGACGAGUGUUCGGAACCUGCGAGAGAGCACAAUCCUGCAACAAAGAGUUUAGAGAAGCAAGUUCUGCGAUCGCAGUAGUGGUUAGCCGAUUACGAAGAGCAAGUUCGAUCCCUUCCUGCAGAAUUGUAACUACCAAGGCAUUUUGAUUUGUAUGGUGGGAAAAAAGGGCUGGGUAGACUAUAGCCAGAGGUUCUGGCUUUAGCCAUCGAUCUAACCAGAAGAAGGUGGAGCAACCGUCUCCAACAGUACACUAGAAAAUCUCUCUCAAGCUCUGUAGGUGUUUGAAAAUAGUCUUAGCAAGAAAGGAGCUGUUCUUGCCAAAGCCAAUGUGAAGAGGUGAGUGGUACAAAACCCAGUCCUUCCAAGGGAGGGAGGUGGAGUGUAAAAACUUGUAAGCAAAUUUCAGCAGUAAACAAAAAUUUUGUGCGCGAAGGUUUUUAACACCCAAACCACCUGCAUCUCUAGGAGUGCACACUUUAUCCCAAGCAACCAAGCAUUUAGCUCUAAGCAGGUUUCAUUGUUUGAUAUACAUCUCGAAUCAUGGAAAUGGCCUAGCGACACAUGGCGUCCCGGCCCUAAAGAAUGACCAAGUUUUGCUAGAUUAUAUGCCUCAACAUUCAAGUCACGACUCUCAUAAGUAAAACUACACAUAAAAUGAGAAGCUCUAAGCCGAAUCUCCUUGAUCACACUUCCAUAGAUUCCUCGGUUACCUGUAUUUAUAUCAUCCACCACCUGCUUGGAGAUAGAUGCUAUUACCAUUCACGGAAUGUUCAGGUCUGUCGCCAGAGAAAAAGCUUCCCUGCAAGCGAUCGCCUCAGUGCCGAACUCCCAAGGAAGGUUCCUUGGUCAUCCUGGCACACGGCUGCCGCAGCACCUCCUCUCGCCGAUCGCAGCAACCCUGCAUCAACAUGUAUUUUGGCCAUACCGGCUGGAGGUGCCUUCUGGCGUAUAUUUCUUCUCCUCCGUGGUACUCUCUUUUGGUGGUAUGAAGAGUUUUAAUAUAUUUUUUGAGGAGUAGUUUUGAUCAGGUGGGCCCAACAUGACACAGCCCGGGCCCAGGGCCCAGUUAAAACACGACUCAGCACCUGAGCAGGUGCGUAAACCGCCCCCUCUCCCCCUCCUCUUGGGUUCUCCAUCCUCUCCUCCGCGACCUGUGUUUCCAACUUUCCAUGGCCGCCAAGAGGAAGCUCGGCAGGUCGCCGCCGGCGGCGGCGGCGAAUGCGAAUGCGUAGGCCAAGGAAGACGACGAGGAGGGGCACCUCUCCUCGCGCUCCUUCCCCCUCUCUGAUUCCCCGUGUCUCUGUGGCCCUGGUGAUUUGUCUGUCCCCUCAGGCUCGGGGAACUAGAGCCUCACGCCCUAAUGUCGUCCACAUCUUUUUUUGAGAAUAAUUUAUGCAUAUGAUUUUCAAAUUUCCAAUCUGAAUGAUCACGAUGGUGUUCGUAGUUUAAGGAGUACUGGAAGUCUGAUAGAAGACGUGUCCAGAACGUCACCCACCUACUCUAGUUGUGAUAUGCAGAGAGUAAUAAUAUGUCAACAUUAGUGCAUUCAAAAAGCCCAAUUGCCGUCUUCAGAUCGGAAAUGGCAAUCUGUGAUUUACCAUAUCACCAGUUUUGAGAGAUAUUACCGAAAAAGGCUUUCGCCCACUUUAUAUAUAAAGCACCGAUCAACAAGCAUCCAGUACAAACAUACGCCAUCGCUACACACGCACACACCCAAGGCACGAUACAAAGGCGCUGAGCGCAGCAAACAACACCAUCCCUAGCACUACCACCACGAAGAGAUGAAGCUACAUAUAACGAUCCAUGAGCUCCAAGGCGGCGCCUUCAAGAAGGGUACGACACCGGCGCGCCGCCACCGCCCGAUCCAAGGAUCAGAGUUUCCCCUGGAGCUGCAUGAUGGGCAAUGAGAGCCGCGAUGACGCCUUCAAGAAGGGAACGAUCUUCGCCGCCGCCGGUCCGUCCGAAUAUAGAAUAGGUUUUCACCUCGGCCAACACUCACCGCCACCGAACGGCACACCCCGGCUACCACGCCGCCCACACGGCCAUGGCGAGCGGGAAGCACCAAGCCACGGGCUCUGCCCAAGAGCACCGCGCUACCAUCACCAGGGCCGCCGCCCCGGCAUCGAAGACCUUGACACCACCUCACCCGAGACCUGCCGCUACCCCAACCAAAGAGACGAGCGGAAAGGUCCCACCUUUCGCACCCCUGGGCGACCCCCAUCGUCGAGACCCGAUAGGCCGGCCAGAAUUGGCAUCCAUCAGCCCGUCCUGCAGCCCCGAGCGCGAGACGAACUCGAUCCUGCAGCACCGUGAGGGGGACGAGGCCAGUCCUGCUGCACCAUGCGCGAGACGAGCUCGGUCCUGCCGCACCGGACGCGAGACGAGCGAUGGACCGCGGCUGGGAGAGGGCCAGCCCUUCGAUGGAAGUAGUGCCCGAACGACGAGGAUAUGGGGCGAAGGUCAAGACGGUCCGAACGCGGACGAGCCGACGCCGGUGAAGCCGGCCGUUGCCGCAGUCAGAGCCAUCAAGCCACCAUGAAGCUGCCACGACACCGGGAGGCCACCACCAACGCGGGACCUCCCCGCGCCGCCGCUCACGGCCAGAGCAACGGCCACGCCCGGCCGCUGCCCACCUGCGUCGCCCGGCGAGCUCCAAGCGUCGGAGCAGCCGGGCACGCACCACCGAUGUCACACGCCGGAGCGCCAGCCACCACCACAGAGCAUGCGCAUCCACGCCCUGGCCAACACCACCGGAAGCCCCACCACCCCACCGGAGAAGCACAGCCACCAGCAGCACCACCACCACCUUAGCAGGGUCGCCAGCCGUCCCCGCCGCCACCAACCACCAUCACCAACCAGAUCUGGGCAGAGCCACCCAGAUCCGCCGCCAGAGCAACCCACCUCCUCGGAUCCCCACAAGCCGCCGCUGGAAGGGGGAGGGAGGAGAGGGGGGCACUCCUGCGGGCCACCACGACGCCGGGGAGGGGGAGGGAGCCGGAGCAGAGGAGAGCCGCCGCCCGACGCCGACAGGCAGGAGGGGGCGCCCCGCGACGCCGGCCACCUGCGCGCGGGAGGAGACGCCCCGCCGCCGCCUGCGCCAUGCGGCCUUUGGCCGGUGACGCCGGCGGCGGUGGCAAGGGAGGAGAGGCCGAGGCGAGGAGCUGGGGCGGCGGCGCUAGGGUAGCCGCCCGGAGUCGCCCGCGGGAGCGACUCGGGGGCGGACUGAUUCUCUUCCUUUGAGAGGUAUUCAGUGCAAUGAUCUGCAGUACUUUACAGCAAAACAAUGUCUAGGUACGGUAUUUCCACUAAUCUCAUGUCUUGAAGGCCCAAUACAGUUUAUUCAUCAGAAAUGAAAAAGAACGAUAGAAACAAAGUAUUUCUUUCGCUGUUUUGUUCAUUAUACAAAACAAUGACCAAGUACACAUAGUUAAUAUCUGUUUGGAAGAACACCAGAUUCACUCUAAAAGCUGUUUGAAUUUUACUUAUCAUCAUAUGUUUCAUUAGGUUCCCACUUGGAUAUAGCAUAAAUUACUCUCCCUUUCCAUCCUUGCAGUAGCCAACCGCGAUCUUCAACAACAAAGAAUUCCUCAUGAUAAAGUGAGUUCUUCAUUUGUACUAUUUUCUUUAAGAUGGCUGGAUCAAUUGGAAGCUGCUGGAACCCAGCCUUGAGGAACCUUGCUUGCCACUGCCUGUAGCUUUCUGGCCUCUCAGUCCUUUCUGCAUCCUCACAUGCUAUGCUGUUAAGUGCGUCCCGCCCAAAUAGGACCCUCUCAAUCGUCUUUCUUGCUUCAUUAUCCCGUGGAACAUUUGCAUCAAGCAUGUCAAACAUUGAAGAGUAAUGGAGCAUAACCUCUUUGAAUCGUUGUAUGAAGAAGGGAGAACUGUGUAACCCAUUCACGGCGCCAGAAAUGAAAACCUUCGGGUUCAUCCUCCUCAUAGUUUUCAGCACCUCAUCCCUUGCGCUAUUUACGGCAUCGGUUUCAUGACCGAGAUUCUUCAUGCGGAACAUGCAGUUGAUUAUGAGAAAUUCAUCCUCAUCAAUGUUAAGAUCCUCAAUUUCAAUGGUAUCCCAUCUUGAAGCGGCAAUGCCCUGAUACUGAAAAGAUACCUUGAACAUGUUUGCAUAAUCAACUAACCGCUUACCUGUCUCUUCGAUCAUUUCACAGGGGCGCAAACUUUGCUGGGGAGUGUCUAUACCCGUGAUCCGAAGCAUAGGAGCUCCCUCUCCUUGCUGUGCAAACCUCUGAAUCAUUGAUGGCCACUGAAAGCCGAAGCCUAUGCCGAAAUCGACGAUGUGCACCCUUGGUUGCCUUUGUGAGACAUAAAAAAUAGUUUGGUUGGCAAAGUAGUAUGACGCCCUUUUGAAAGGGCAAGCUGCAAGAAAAAGACUGCAAACAUCUAACCAAUCUGCGGUACUUGUUCGCCUUUCCACGAGGUUCCGGUAAACCUGACUCCCGAUCCCAUUCAAGCGUGCCUCAAGGCCAUCUGCCAAGUAAAAUGCCAGUCUCUGAGUACAAUCACCAUCUGUUGAAGAGUGUUGUCUUAUCUUCAAUAGCAGUUCACUGGCCAACAGGUAGCAGUUUUCUGCCACAGCUUGUGCGCAAUGGAUGAGGAGAGUCCUGAGAUCAACCAACUCUUUUCUUGGCUGCUUCCUACAUUUGCUCCGUCCUUUCAGCGAGUUCUUGUUUCCUUCCCCCGCCAUCCUUUCUUGAAGUCUUGUUAUUUGGUUAGAAGGACCAUAGCACAGCAGAACUCGGUCGAAAUUUUCAUUUCGAAUUAUUGCACAAGUGGUGAUGGCAUGAUGUUUAUUGCUCCUUCCUUGAAAGAUAUCCCAGUCCCUUUGGUCUGACACCUCAAAGAUUGUGUUUUCGCUGGUCCUCUCUCCUAGUUUUGCCUUUGUAGUCAGUUGGGAAAUAUGAAGUAUGUCGUUCUUUAAAUAUAUCACCAGCUUAUCAAUAAUUGGAGCAAACAUUAUUUUCUCCUCGACACCUCUCUGACAAUGCAAGGCUGGAAAUUCAGAUCCGGAAGUCCAUCCAACACUUUUGAACGGACGAUUUGGUAGAGAAAGACUCCUAUUGCAGAUAUAUGGACUCAACGGGCUUGUUAAGGGUUGUAACAUGAUGUAACUGGAAUAGUCAUUACUAAAGCUAGUGCUCCGGAGCCUCUUGUAACGGCUGGUCCCACUCUUAUCAGAGGUUUCUGGUUUGUUAUUGCUAUGCAAUGGCGGCCAGUUAGUAGCCGGCGCGGAUACCUCCCCAAGAAUGUCACGGAAUGGCUUCUCAGCAGCCUGGACAGCAGCCUCCCCUUGGCAUAUGUUGACCCUCUCAUCAAUGUCUUCCAUUAGCAUCUGGCUUAUGUGGUGAAGAGCAUCAUUUGAUCUGAUUCGGCGGUGAUCAGAGCUACCCCCUACAGCAAUCUGAAAUUUGCUUUGUCCAUGGCUGCUGUUGACACUUGCUUGGUUCGCUGGGGACCAAACUGUUGAGUGUGGACCACUCAGGUCAUAGUUGUACACGGUGAAUUGCUGCUGCUGGGAAGAGGAAUCACCUUCGUAUGGUUGGUCGGUUGCUGCGAGGGUGUCCAGAUUGUCACGGAGAGGUUCAAUCGCCAUUGUGGAAAGUCUGAUUUCCACCUCAAUAUGAGAUAUAUGGUUAUUGUUGUCCUACAGCAAAUGAACCGGCUUGUUUCCUGGAAGAAGAAAAAAGGGAAAUGGAAGCUAAAUUAUGUGAGGUGAAUUUUGGUUCACCUUGCUCAUGUGCUACAAUCUAGAAUGCCCGUAAAACGGAGUUCUGCUUCUUCCUUUUUGUUAGAGAUUCAGCUUAUGAUUGUUUUGGCAUGCCUUUCUGAUCGAAAACAAAUUCCGAAGGCUUAUAACUAACUGAGCCGGUUAAAUAUAGAAUCUAUGAAGAUUUUGAAUCUAUGUCUCUAUGACGCGCCUAAUACUACUGUUCCUUUUUAUUUGCAGGAAGCUCCUCAUCUGACCUGAGCAAAGAGCAAAAGUAGGGAAGCACACACCUUGGUUAUUAAGCAGCAGCAGCAGCAGAUCCAAUGCUUUGAGAGAAGAGUAGCGAGGAUGUGGACUAUGAAAGAUGAGCAGUGAGGUUGUGGUGUUGAUGUGAAGUUAAUUUGUCGUUCCUCUACCUUAUAGCUUUGUUCCCAACGUCAUAAGAUUGUGACAGAGAAGCGUCCAGAUUACAAGCAAUUAUCCUGUCGAUUAGUUCUAGGCCCGGCCGCGCAUCAGACAUAUGAAAAAUGGUUUAUUAGGAGCGCUGGCCUGGGUUUCAAUCAUUAUUAAGGUUCCUAAUUAAACUGUUAAAAGUUCUGAGGUAAUCAAAAAAGGGGAUGCACUAUUCAAAGUUUUUUUUUCUUUCUUUUCCACUUGAUAAUUGAUAUAUAUAAUGGUAUUGGUUGAAUCUUUUUCGAGGAUAAUUUGCUGUACUUUAUCUCAUUAAAUAAUCAGUUUUUUGCAUGAUUAUCUUAGUUCAAAAUUGAAUUGUUGGUGCCUAGCUAGUCUGAUGAGAUUUGAAUUUAUGUUCUGUCGUAUCUGAAUUAUUUGUACCAAAUAUUUAACUAGUGUAACUGCCAUUUUUAUUUACAACAUCGACG
rnacentral:lncRNA from 1 species